rnacentral:misc_RNA from 1 species
GAUGAAGAACGUAGCGAAAUGCGAUACGUAGUGUGAAUUGCAGAAUUCCGUGAACCAUCAAAUCUUUGAACGCAUAUUGCGCUCGAGGCUUCGGCCGAGAGCAUGUCUGCCUCAGCGUCGGUAUUACCCCUCGCUUCUCAACCCCUGGUUGAUGCCUGCCUGCCUUUGCAGUUGGCUAGAAGCGGAUCUGGCUUUCCCAAUUGCCUUUGGUAGUUGGGUCAGCUGAAGCACAGAGGCUUGAGCAAGGACCCUUAUUGGGCUUCAACUGGAUAGGUAGAACUGGUCUUAGGACCAACUACACGAAGUUGUUGCUUGUGGUCUUUUGUCUGGAGGCCAGCAGGAAACCUUUAUACCUUCGACUUGAGCUCAGGCAAGAUUACCCGCUGAACUUAAGCAUAUCAAUAAGCGGAGGA